GUUGAACGCUGGCGGCGUGCCUAACACAUGCAAGUCGAGCGGUAACAGGUGUAGCAAUACAUGCUGACGAGCGGCGAACGGGUGAGUAAUGCUUCGGAAUCUGCCCAUGUAGUGGGGAAUAACCAGCCGAAAGGUUGGCUAAUACCGCAUACGACCCUUGCCCACAAGGCAAAGGUGAAAGCAGGGGAUCGCAAGACCUUGCGCUAUUGGAUGAGCCGAAGUCGGAUUAGCUAGUUGGUAGGGUAACGGCCUACCAAGGCGACGAUCCGUAGCUGGUCUGAGAGGACGACCAGCCACACUGGGACUGAGACACGGCCCAGACUCCUACGGGAGGCAGCAGUGGGGAAUAUUGGACAAUGGGGCAACCCUGAUCCAGCGACGCCGCGUGUGUGAAGAAGGCUGCGGGUUGUAAAGC
rnacentral:rRNA from 1 species